rnacentral:lncRNA from 1 species
AACAGGGAAACACUAACUUCCCUAAUCUUCUUUCACAAUAAAAACCGCAGAGAAUCCCGGCAUCAGCCCCUAUAAAUCAACCUCUGCAACAAAGCCAUUCCAUUAUACUAACAUUUAUCUCUUCCUCUUUCUCUCUCUCUCUCUCUCUCUCUCUCUCUCUCUCUCUCUUCUUGCUUUCUUCAAGCAAUGGCCAAAACCAUGCCAUUAGUUCUGUUCAUGCUCCUUGUCAGUGUCUUUGCUGAAGAGCUUUACACUCUUCCUUCACCUCACCCUCCCACAUCAGCCCCACUUCACCCCCCAACUUACCCACCUGCAAACGCCCCUCACCACCAUCACCACCACCACCACUCACCGGCACCAGCCCCUGCACCUCUCCACCCGCAUUACCCUCCAGCCCCUGCUCACCCUCCAACUCAUCAUCAUCACCAUCACCCUUCUGCUCCUGUUCAUCCUCCUCUCAACCCUCCGCUUGUUCCAGUUCACCCUCCUCUUAACCCUCCAGUUCCACUUCAUCCUCCUGUCAAGCCUCCUGUUCCCGUUCACCCUCCCGUUCCAGUUCCAGUUCACCCUCCUGUCAAGCCUUCGGUUCCAGUUCACCCUCCUGUCAAGCCUUCGGUUCCAGUUCACCCUCCUGUCAAGCCUCCGGUUCCAGUUCACCCUCCGGUUCCUGCUCACCCUCCUGUUCCAGUGCACCCCUUCCCUAGAAGCUUUGUGGCAGUUCAAGGUGUUGUCUACGUCAAGUCCUGCAAGUAUGCUGGAGUUGACACUCUCUUAGGAGCCACACCACUGCUUGGUUAGUCUCCUUUAUCUACUUUUUAACCUUGCUUCCUUUUGUCUGCUGCAAGCUUAUCAUAUACUGAUACUAAAUGUUUUGAAUACCUUAUUGCUGUUCCAUCCAAGUACACAUUUUUUGCUUCCAGGGAAGUAAACUGUUUAAAAAAUAAUGUCUUGCAGAUUUUGUUUUAUACUUUUUAGAUCUGGUCUUUUUAUUUGUUUCUCUACUAUUUUUCGGCUAUCUAAUUUGUUUGCUGUUUAGUACAUUUCUAGUUCAACCAGACGAGGAUCUAGGUAGAUCAAGUUAACUUUUUUUAUUUUAUUUUGUAUAUUUCUGAAAUUUUUUUAUUUGUAUGGAUACCUAUGCCCGAGGGAUGUUAUUAAUAUUUCCCGUGCAUUUACAUCGUAUUCAAGUUGAGAAUAGUCAUGGUAUGUGUUAUACUCUCAAGUUGCUCUUUCCAAUGCAUGGCUGUAGCUUGAUUUAAGGAAAGAAAAUUUUUCAAAAGCAAAACCCGGAAGAAAUGAGUGUGUUUUUCAACAUAAUGUAGUGAUCUUUAGUUUCGCAUCUCAAGGCAAAAUAAACCAAUGAGUUGGUUUGUGUAUGUGAUUGAGAGAGAGAAAGGGAGAUUUCAAAACAGCAAUUACUUUGUGGUAAAGUUGAUUUGUCGUUUCACGAAAGCUGCACGGUUUCUGAGAUCAGGACUUUGUUUGUUGUGACUGUUUUCACCAUUGUGUAAUGGUGACCCUUUUUACUCUUAUUGUGAAAUGACAAUGUUAUCCCAAUCUUGAUAAACGACAAGAGAUGAGUGUGGUGAUGGUUUGAAACUGCAGGUGCUGUUGUGAAGCUCCAAUGCAACAACACGAAGUACAAGCUGGUCGAAACCACCAAGAGUGACAAGAACGGUUACUUCUACGUGGAAGCGCCGAGGAGGAUCACAACGUACGGGGCUCACAAGUGCAAUGUGGUUCUGGUUAGUGCACCCGGUGGCCUGAAAGCCUCAAAUCUCCAUGGUGGUGUCACUGGUGCUGUUCUGAGGCCAGAGAAGCCAUUUUUGUCUAAGAAGCUUCCCUUUGUGCUCUACACUGUUGGGCCUCUGGCGUUUGAGCCAAAAUGCCAUUAUUAGAAACAAAAGAUUUGAAUGGAUUGUGUAUGGGUUUGUUUCUGUUGUGGCUUAUGUAUCUCAAUCUUUAUGUGUUUUCCGUUUGUAGUGUUCUGAGUUUGAACUGAUAUCAUACACAAAAUAAGUGACAUAGUUCUCGUAUGAAUUGUUAAUUUAGUGUAAAAGAAAUGUUGUUUAUGCUUUUUUAUUAAGAUGCUGCUGUCUCUUUUUUACUAUUGGUCUUCAUUCUUCAAUGUUCCUAUAAUCUUCUAUUGGUUUAGC